UCGAGAAUCUUCGGCAAUGGACGCAAGUCCGACCGAGCGACGCCGCGUGCGGGAUGAAGGCCUUCGGGUUGUAAACCGCUGUCAGUGGGGAGGAAAUCCAGGGGAGUUAUCUCUUCUGGUUGACCUAUCUUCGGAGGAAGUGCGGGCUAAGUUCGUGCCAGCAGCCGCGGUAAGACGAACCGCACAAACGUUAUUCGGAAUCACUGGGCUUAAAGGGUGCGUAGGCGGUCCGGAAAGUUGGGUGUGAAAUCCCUCGUCUCAACCGAGGAACUGCGCUCAAAACUACCGGACUUGAGGGAGACAGAGGUGAGCGGAACUUAGGGUGGAGCGGUGAAAUGCGUUGAGAUCCUAAGGAACACCAGUAGCGAAAGCGGCUCACUGGGUCUCUUCUGACGCUGAUGCACGAAAGCUAGGGGAGCGAAGA
rnacentral:rRNA from 1 species